AGAGCGAACGCUGGCGGCAGGCCUAAUACAUGCAAGUCGAACGGAUCCUUCGGGAUUAGUGGCGGACGGGUGAGUAACACGUGGGAACGUGCCCUUUGGUUCGGAACAACUCAGGGAAACUUGAGCUAAUACCGGAUGUGCCCUUCGGGGGAAAGAUUUAUCGCCAUUGGAGCGGCCCGCGUCUGAUUAGCUAGUUGGUGGGGUAAAGGCCUACCAAGGCUACGAUCAGUAGCUGGUCUGAGAGGAUGAUCAGCCACACUGGGACUGAGACACGGCCCAGACUCCUACGGGAGGCAGCAGUAGGGAAUCUGCGCAAUGGGCGAAAGCCUGACGCAGCCAUGCCGCGUGAAUGAUGAAGGUCUUAGGAUUAGUAAAAUUCUUUCAGGCGGGACGAUAAUGACGGUACCGCAGAAGACGCCCGGCUAACUUCGUGCCAGCAGCCGC
rnacentral:rRNA from 1 species